GGUCCCUCCCAACUCAGCAUGUUCUGUGAUUCUCUUGUUUCUAUGGUCCUAUGAUUCCAAGAUUCUGUGAUUCUAUGACAGGAGGGGGGACCUGUCUUGGUUGGAGCAACUUUUAUUAAGCAGCAGGAAGGGUCUGCUAGGAAACCCCCAGGAUAAGGAAUAUUCCAGGUGUAGAUCCUCCAGCCAAAAACCAAGGAGCAUCGUGGGGAUGAAGAGAAAAGCUGUAACAGCAUUUCCAUACAGAACAGGCCUUUUUCCAGAAAUAAUCCCUGCAGGAGAGAAACUGUCUUAGAAUAUCUGGAAAUGACAAUCCUGG